UAAAAUGCUAUGUCGCUGCAGAUACUAAGCAGACCAGCACUUUCAAUUUAAUUCUGUAAAUGUUUAUUGAAGCCUUUGAUAAGUUUAACAUGUACAUGGCAACUUGACUUAACAGGAAUCUAGCUGUCCAAGGAGUUUACCCUCUGUGGUUUUUGUCAGGCCAGUACUCUUUUCCUCCUGCUUUGGGGCAGCCACUCCUCCCCCUCUGGUGGCUGUGAAUCAUGGUACUUUAUUCCUUCAGCCACAGAGGUGGGCAUAUGGCCAGGCUAGGUCAAACUGAGUUCUUACCCGUGAAUUUUCUAGGAAGGUGGGGUGAUGAUGAUGAAAGGAGGUCUUGCUGAUGUGAGGUCUUCGUGAGCUUCAGGCUGGUUGAUCAGAAUGUAGUUCAUUUUCCUGUAUUAUCUUGUUGCUGCCCUCCUCUAUAUGGUUACUUUGUCCUCAGUCUGGCUUUUCUCAUGGUAGCAAGCAGGACUGCCAUGUUGCACAAUUCCAAGAGCCAUUAUUCACUUCUUACAGUAGUUUAUUCAUCCUGGGGGUCUUUAACCCCCAAGAAUCUACAAACACAUUCUUGAGGGUCUGUGUGUUCUCUAGGCAAAUUUUCAAAUUAAUUCAAGCAUUCCUUAACUGGUUUAAAUUGUUCCAUGACACUUGAAUGUGAGAAAUGUCACCUUUCUUAACUGCUUAAGUGAAAUUAAACUUGGCUGAGACCCCUAUUCCUCAAGGGCUGGCAAAACUGGUACCAAACAUUAUUGAGACUUGUCCUCCCCUUAACUGUAUCCUACAAAAAUCCAGGUGCUUACAUGGUCCUGAAAAAUUAGGGACAAAGCAACCUCUGGUUGUCAGUCUGUACCCAUCAGUGCUGAUGCUUCUGUCCAACCACCCUUGGGUUCUGGUCCUCUGCCAUCUGUUGAGCACAGCUGUCCUGGUAGGCUACAGAGAUGUCCUUCAUGGUGAUUAUUUUCAAUGACUGAUGACUCAGUCAUCGAAUAAGUUCUCUCUCUGUUAUCUAAAGUUUGUGUACUUCUUUGUCUUCUCCCUUAAAACUUGAGCCUUUUGAGGAAAGGGACAUUGCUGAUUUCUGUGUCGCCAGCAUGCCUAGAAUGAUGCCUUACACACAGUAGGUACUCAGUUGUUGAACGAAUGAAUGAACAUCUGACCAUCAUGCCAGAAGUCUAGGUUGUUGUUGUUUUUUUUCCACACCGCAUGGCAUGCGGGAUCUUAGUUCCCUGACCAGGGAAAGAACCUGUGCCCCCUGCAAUGGAAGCACGGAGUCUUAACCACUGGACUACCAGGGAAGUCCCCAGUCUAGGUAUUUAUAAAACAUCUGGGACAUCUUCAGUUUAUUAUUUGCUAUAAGACCUAGGUAUUUUUAGCCUCACCAAUACCUUUCUGGUUGUACUUUACCUUCUAUUUAUAUGUUAUUCAUUUUGUAAGUAUACUAUUUAUUGUUGUGUUUAAAAAAUCAGUGUGAUUAUAUAUUAUUUCUCUAGCUUGUCAAGACCAUAUUGAAUGAUAACUCCUCAAAAAUACCAAUUUCUCUUAUCAACUGUCUGUCAUCCCAAACCAUGCUAUUUGUUUAGUGAUAAUCCAGUGGGAUAAUUCUACAAUUAUCUUCAUCAGAGAGGGACACACUGUACUCUUUCCACCCACUGAUGUUUCCUGAGCAAUCAUUGGUUGAAUAAUGUCUACUCAAACAAGCUCACACUGUGAAACCAGCUCAGCAAGGCCUACCUGGAGGAUGCAAAGAUGGAUUGAUGUUGAACUGGAAAGAAGAGGUAAGAGAGAAAUACUGUUUCCUUGAGGAGGCGAUGGGUGGUCCAAAGCUAGAAUUAACACAGGCACUUAGACACCUGGUCCCUUUUCUACCCCACUUCAGCAACCAGACAUGAAGAUCUAAGCUGUAAAGUCCUCCUGUCACGAUGAGAAUCAGCAUGUUUACAAGAAGCUGUCCAGAAGCAAGGCGGCAUCCGUUAGCAGAGUGCCUGACACACUGGACUGAGAGCACCUGUCUCUGCCUCCUGGUUUCUCCCGACUCCCAGGGCAGGGCUCCCUCAUGCUGCCUCUGUCACCAUCACACCCAAAGAAAGGCCAGCCAAGGGCUGGGGGCAAUGUGAUGGCUGUUCCCUUCCUGCCUGGGGCUUUACCCUCAAGUCCUGGGGGACUGACAGGUAUUGUACUAACUGAAAUGAAAAUCAUUUUAUGUGCAGAAGCAAAUUCACCCAGAAUUCUGAAAGUGCAAAAGACUAGAUCCUUAAAGGAACAUUCUGGAUGCUGUGUUUUUCAGAAAAAAAAGGCGAAUGUUAAGUAAUUAAGCUAACAUUCGCGUUCUUUGUUUUCUAUUAUUCUAUAUUUUGAGUGAGUUACAGGAUGUGUUAGACAGUCCCAUCACUCCCAGGCUAAUUUCUUACAGUGACAUCUAAAGUUCUGUAAAAUGAUCUGCACAAUAAAAUGGUUUUAAAGGUGAAUUACUUAAAUUUCUGGAGGGCAUGAAUUAUAUUUACAUUGUAUCCCUAAUGACUAACACAGGGUUUGGCAUAUAUCAGGCACAUAAUGAUAAAUACGUUUGCAUUAAUUAGUAGAUUAUAAUCUGAUGAUUAGGCUUUAAUAAAAUAAUGGUAAUAACAUAUUUUU